rnacentral:lncRNA from 1 species
UUCAGCCUCCCCACAAAAGAGAGUGAGAAAUAGGAUGCUCACAUCCUUAUUACGGGGGCUUCAUUGAUCGAGCAGCCAUUGUGUAUCUGUUAUGCAUGGCCUGUGCCAGGGAUUCAGCGGCCUCGUGGAGCGUUAUGAUGAAAUGCACAUGGAGAGGAAGAGUGUAUGGAAUCCACUGCCCCAAGAGGCAGGACCAACUGGAGAUAGGAAUCCCGUCUCACAGUUCACCUCACUCAACUUAGCAUUCCCUGUGGAAUUCUAGAUGGGUUAAACUAAAUUCA